rnacentral:rRNA from 1 species
CGGGUGAGUAAUGUCUGGGAAACUGCCUGAUGGAGGGGGAUAACUACUGGAAACGGUAGCUAAUACCGCAUAACGUCGCAAGACCAAAGUGGGGGACCUUCGGGCCUCAUGCCAUAAGAUGUGCCCAGAUGGGAUUAGCUAGUAGGUGGGGUAACGGCUCACCCAGGCGACGAUCCCUAGCUGGUCUGAGAGGAUGACCAGCCACACUGGAACUGAGACACGGUCCAG